rnacentral:rRNA from 1 species
UACGGAAGGCAGCAGUGGGGAAUAUUGCACAAUGGGCGAAAGCCUGAUGCAGCUAUGCCGCGUGUAUGAAGAAGGCCUUAGGGUUGUAAAGUACUUUCAUCGGGGAGGAAAAAACAAAACUAAUAAUUUUAUUUCUUGACGUUACCCGAAAAAGAAGCACCGGCUAACUCCGUGCCAGCAGCCGCGGUAAUACGGAGGGUGCUAGCGUUAAUCAGAAUUACUGGGCGUAAAGAGCACGUAGGUGGUUUUUUUAAGUCAGAUGUGAAAUCCCUGGGCUUAACCUGGAACUGCAUUUUGAAACUGAAAUACUAGAGUAUCGUAGAGGGAGGUAGAAUUCUAGGUGUAGCGGUGAAAUGCGUAGAUAUCUGGAGGAAUACCUGUGGCGAAAGCGGCCUCUAAACGAAUACUGACACUGAGGUGCGAAAGCGUGGGGAGCAAACAGGGAUUAGAUACCCGU